rnacentral:pre_miRNA from 1 species
GGGUCUGCUAGCUAGCUGCAUGAAUGAAUCACUGGGCUAAUACUUCUUUGGCAGUAGUUGAAAGGCUAAGUAGUUGGUCAGUUGGUUGUUUGCACCAAUUGCCAGACACGGUGCCGUUUCAAACAAACUGCCAAAGGAGAUUUGCCCAGCCUUUCAGCUCAUGCAUACAAAAGUCAUCAUCCCC